GUAGAUGAUUUAUAUUACUUGUGAUAUAAAUUUUGAACUUUAGUGAGUAGGAAGGUACAAUGGUAUGCGUAGAAGUGUUUGGCGUAAGCCUGCAUGGAGCUGCCAUUGGUACAGAUCUUGGUGGUAGUAGCAAAUAAUCGAAUGAGACCUUGGAGGACUGAAGUGGAGAAGGGUUUCGUGUGAACAGUGGUUGAUCACGAGUUAGUCGGUCCUAAGUUCAAGGCGAAAGCCGAAAAUUUUCAAGUAAAACAAAAAUGCCUAACUAUAUAAACAAAGCGAAUAUAAUACACUUGAAUAAUUUUGAACGAAAGGGAAUACGGUUCCAAUUCCGUAACCUGUUGAGUAUCCGUUUGUUAUUAAAUAUGGGCCUCGUGCUCAUCCUGGCAACAGGAACGACCAUAAAGAAGCCGUCGAGAGAUAUCGGAAGAGUUUUCUUUUCUGUUUUAUAGCCGUACUACCAUGGAAGUCUUUCGCAGAGAGAUAUGGUAGAUGGGCUAGAAGAGCAUGACAUAUACUGUUGUGUCGAUAUUUUCUCCUCGGACCUUGAAAAUUUAUGGUGGGGACACGCAAACUUCUCAACAGGCCGUACCAAUAUCCGCAGCUGGUCUCCAAGGUGAAGAGUCUCUAGUCGAUAGAAUAAUGUAGGUAAGGGAAGUCGGCAAAUUAGAUCCGUAACUUCGGGAUAAGAUUGGCUCUGAAGAUUGAGAUAGUCGGGCUUGAUUGGGAAACAAUAACAUGGUUUAUGUGCUCGUUCUGGGUAAAUAGAGUUUCUAGCAUUAUGUUAGUUACUUGUUCCCCGGAUAGUUUAGUUACGUAGCCAAUUGUGGACUUUCUUGCUAAAAUUUUUAAGAAUACUAUUGGGUUAAACCCAAUUAGUUCUUAUCAAUUAUAACGAUUAUCAAUUAACAAUCAAUUCAGAACUGGCACGGACUUGGGGAAUCCGACUGUCUAAUUAAAACAAAGCAUUGUGAUGGCCCUAGCGGGUGUUGACACAAUGUGAUUUCUGCCCAGUGCUCUGAAUGUCAAAGUGAAGAAAUUCAAGUAAGCGCGGGUCAACGGCGGGAGUAACUAUGACUCUCUUAAGGUAGCCAAAUGCCUCGUCAUCUAAUUAGUGACGCGCAUGAAUGGAUUAACGAGAUUCCUACUGUCCCUAUCUACUAUCUAGCGAAACCACAGCCAAGGGAACGGGCUUGGAAUAAUUAGCGGGGAAAGAAGACCCUUUUGAGCUUGACUCUAAUCUGGCAGUGUAAGGAGACAUAAGAGGUGUAGAAUAAGUGGGAGAUAUUAGACCUCGGUUUGGUAUCGUCAAUGAAAUACCACUACUCUUAUUGUUUCCUUACUUACUUGAUUAAAUGGAACGUGUAUCAUUUCCUAGCCAUUAUACGGAUAUAUUUAUUAUAUCUUAUGGUAUUGGGUUUUGAUGCAAGCUUCUUGAUCAAAGUAUCACGAGUUUGUUAUAUAAUCGCAAACAAAUUCUUUAAUAAAACGAUGCAUUUAAGUAUUUUUGAUUUGAAAAUUUGGUAUAACUCCAAUUACUCAGGAA
rnacentral:ncRNA from 1 species